GGAACUGCAUCUGAUACUGGCAAGCUUGAGUCUCGUAGAGGGGGGUAGAAUUCCAGGUGUAGCGGUGAAAUGCGUAGAGAUCUGGAGGAAUACCGGUGGCGAAGGCGGCCCCCUGGACGAAGACUGACGCUCAGGUGCGAAAGCGUGGGGAGCAAACAGGAUUAGAUACCCUGGUAGUCCACGCCGUAAACGAUGUCGACUUGGAGGUUGUGCCCUUGAGGCGUGGCUUCCGGAGCUAACGCGUUAAGUCGACCGCCUGGGGAGUACGGCCGCAAGGUUAAAACUCAAAUGAAUUGACGGGGGCCCGCACAAGCGGUGGAGCAUGUGGUUUAAUUCGAUGCAACGCGAAGAACCUUACCUGGUCUUGACAUCCACGGAAGUUUUCAGAGAUGAGAAUGUGCCUUCGGGAAC
rnacentral:rRNA from 1 species